CUAUUUCAGGCAAGAUAAAAACAAAGCACAACAGUGAAUUAGUCAUUCCUAUUGCUUUAAUUACAGCAGCACAGCUUCUGCCUGAAGAAGGUGGAGGUUGGACCUCACCAGGUGGGAGCAGUUGAGGGUGAAUCCGAGGCGAGGAGGUGAAGGCGGCGUGGAGGCCGGCGUCCACUCUGCCAAGGGGCUCGGCUGUGAAGAGGACAGAGAGGGUCAGACUGCUGCACAUCUGACUCUACGGGCAGACGGAAGGAAAAAGAUGGGUCCCAACAAGAGCCUCCCCAGGGCCUUUGCCCAGGCUUCAGAGCAGGCCCCUGAUCCCAUAAACACCUGCCUACUACACUCGUGGAGAUUUGGCCUUCAGGCUCCCCUGCACCUGCUUUUCUGCCCUAGCCCAUUGGUGUAAUUCCUGCUGUCAAGUGUUGGCAUUCCUGUAACUUAAGAUGACAUAAAUAGGACUAAGGGACAGUCCUACUGACAACAGCCCUAUUUUGAAGACCAGGAUACCCACAAAGGAUUUUGCAGAAGAAGCCUUUCAAGUUUCCUAAUAAGAUGUCCAAAAUGCAGCCAUGUGCAGAAGAUCAAGCCAUCUGUUACUUCUCCUGGACCUUGGAACAGAAGUCAGAGCUCCUGCUUUAGCUAACUUCAUUGUUUCUCCAGCUAAAUCAAAAUUUACAGGUAGGUGAAACAGGAGGUUUGCCCUAAGAUGCCUCUAGCUAUUUUACCUAACCCAUUACUCUCCCCACCUUUUGUCAUAUUUUCCCUCCCUCUCCAUUAAUUUGCCGUAAAGCUGACAGCCUUUGG